CCCCUAGAUGUCCUGGGCCGCACGCGCGCUACACUGAGUGUCUGAGAUACGAGUCUGCCUGGUCCGGCAAGGUCUAGGUAAUCGCUAAAAGACACAUCAUGCUUGGGAUAGAUUAUUGCAAAUAUUAAUCUUGAACGAGGAAUUCCUAGUAAGCGCAAGUCAACAGCUUGCGUUGAUUACGUCCCUGCCCUUUGUACACACCGCCCGUCGCUACUACUGAUUGGAUGUUUAAGCGAGGUUCUCGAACUGCUAGCGACUUAGCUUCGGUGAGGUCGCAGUGUGGGAAGUGAACCUAGCUUUGGUGUCUAGAGGAAGUAAAAGUCGUAACA
rnacentral:rRNA from 1 species